AUACGGAGGGUGCAAGCGUUAUUCGGAAUCACUGGGCGUAAAGGACGCGUAGGCGGGUUGGCAAGUCAGAUGUGAAAUCCUACAGCUUAACUGUAGAACUGCAUUUGAAACUGCUAACCUAGAGUAUGGGAGGGGGAGAUGGAAUUAGUGGUGUAGGGGUAAAAUCCGUAGAUAUCACUAGGAAUACCGAAAGCGAAGGCGAUCUCCUGGAACAUAACUGACGCUAAGGCGUGAAAGCGUGGGAAGCAAACAGGAGUAGAAACCCUUGUAGUCC
rnacentral:rRNA from 1 species